GCCUUGAUGGUGAAAUGGUACACACGUGAGACUCAACAAAAUCUUGUGGAGGUUCGAGUCCUCUUCAAGGCA
rnacentral:tRNA from 1 species